rnacentral:rRNA from 1 species
UCGAGAAUCUUCGGCAAUGGACGCAAGUCUGACCGAGCGAUGCCGCGUGCGGGAUGAAGGUCUUCGGAUUGUAAACCGCUGUCAGAGGGGAUGAAGUGUACGGGAGUUAUCUCCUGUAUUUGACAGAGCCUCAGAGGAAGCACGGGCUAAGUUCGUGCCAGCAGCCGCGGUAAUACGAACUGUGCGAACGUUAUUCGGAAUCACUGGGCUUAAAGGGUGCGUAGGCGGUUAUCUAAGUCAGGUGUGAAAUCUCUCAGCUCAACUGGGAAACUGCGCUUGAAACUGGAUGACUGGAGUGAUGCAGGGGUGUGUGGAACUUCCGGUGGAGCGGUGAAAUGUGUAGAUAUCGGAAGGAACGCCAGCAGCGAAAGCGGCACACUGGGCAUUUUCUGACGCUGAGGCACGAAAGCUAGGGGAGUGAACG